rnacentral:piRNA from 1 species
CUGACAACCAUGCUCCAGUUAGGAUUAC